UGUAAGCGUAUACCAAAGUUGUUGCAGUUAAAACGCUCGUAGUCGGAAUUUGGCAGUUCCGGAUGUGUGCACGUCGUGUGCGCACUUCGCGGGGAUUGCUUUUGUGGUCUUGCGUAGGAUGAGGCACUUUUAUUAGUGAACGUCCUCACGCAACCACUUUUUACUGUGAGAAAAUCAGAGUGCUCAAAGCAGGCAUUUGCCGUGAAUGUAUUAGCAUGGAAUAAUAGAAUAGGACUUGGUUCUAUUUUGUUGGUUUGUUGGGACUGAGUAAUGAUUAAGAGGGACAGUUGGGGGCAUUUGUAUUUCGGUGCUAGAGGUGAAAUUCUUAGAUUACCGAAAGACAAACUGCUGCGAAAGCGUCUGCCAAGGAUGUUUUCAUUGU
rnacentral:rRNA from 1 species